UACGUAGGGUCCGAGCGUUGUCCGGAAUUAUUGGGCGUAAAGGGCUCGUAGGCGGUUUGUCGCGUCGGGAGUGAAAACUCAGGGCUCAACCCUGAGCGUGCUUCCGAUACGGGCAGACUAGAGGUAUGCAGGGGAGAACGGAAUUCCUGGUGUAGCGGUGGAAUGCGCAGAUAUCAGGAGGAACACCGGUGGCGAAGGCGAUUCUCUGGGCAUUACCUGACGCUGAGGAGCGAAAGCAUGGGGAGCGAACAGG
rnacentral:rRNA from 1 species